GAGUAUAUAGCUCAGUGGUAGAGCUCAUGCUUAGCAUGCACGAGGUCCUAGGUUCAAGCCCCAGUACCUCCA
rnacentral:tRNA from 1 species